UUGAUCCUGCCGGAAGUCACUGCUAUCGGGGUUCGAUUAAGCCAUGCGAGUCGAGAGGGUUCGGCCCUCGGCGUACUGCUCAGUAACACGUGGAUAACCUGCCCUAAGGAAGGGGAUAACCCCGGGAAACUGGGGAUAAUACCCUAUAGGUUACAGAUGCUGGAAUGCUUUGUAACCCAAAGUUCCGACGCCUUAGGAUGGAUCUGCGGCCGAUUAGGUUGUUGUUGGGGUAACGGCCCAACAAGCCAGUAAUCGGUACGGGUUGUGGGAGCAAGAGCCCGGAGUUGGAUUCUGAGACACGAAUCCAGGCCCUACGGGGCGCAGCAGGCGCGAAAACUUUACAAUGCGGGCAACCGUGAUAAGGGAACCUCGAGUGCCUGUAUAUGCAGGCUGUCCAGGUGUCUAAAACACACCUGAAGAAAGGGCCGGGCAAGACCGGUGCCAGCCGCCGCGGUAAUACCGGCGGCUCGAGUGGUGGCCACUUUUAUUGGGCUUAAAGCGUUCGUAGCUGGGUUGUUAAGUCUCUUGGGAAAUCCGGCAGCUUAACUGUCGGGCGUCUAAGAGAUACUGGCAAUCUUGGAACCGGGAGAGGUGAGGGGUACUUCGGGGGUAGGAGUGAAAUCCUGUAAUCCUCGAGGGACCACCUGUGGCGAAGGCGCCUCACCAGAACGGCUUCGACAGUGAGGGACGAAAGCUGGGGGAGCAAACCGGAUUAGAUACCCGGGUAGUCCCAGCCGUAAACGAUGCGCG
rnacentral:rRNA from 1 species